rnacentral:rRNA from 1 species
UAGGGAAUAUUGGUAAUGGGCGAAAGCCCGAACCAGCAACGCCGCGUGCGCGAUGAAGGCCUUCGGGUUGUAAAGCGCUUUUUAAGGGGAUGAGGAAGGACAGUACUCUUAGAAUAAGCCUCGGCUAACUACGUGCCAGCAGCCGCGGUAAAACGUAGGAGGCGAGCGUUAUCCGGAUUUACUGGGCGUAAAGCGUGUGUAGGCGGUUUGAUAAGUUGGAUGUGAAAGCUCCCGGCUCAACUGGGAGAGGUCGUUCAAAACUAUCAGACUUGAGAGUGGUAGAGGGAGGUGGAAUUCCGCGUGUAGUGGUGAAAUGCGUAGAUAUGCGGAGGAACACCAGUGGCGAAAGCGGCCUCCUGGCCCAUUUCUGACGCUCAGACACGAAAGCUAAGGUAGCAAACG